AAAUACACAAUAAGAUAUGAUCUAGAUUU
rnacentral:guide_RNA from 1 species